AAUUUGAAAUCUGGCCCCGCCGGGGUCCGAGUUGUAAUUUGCAGAGAGCGCUUCGGGCGAGGCCGCGGUCUAAGUCCAUUGGAACAUGGCGUCGUAGAGGGUGAGAAUCCCGUAUGCGACCGUGGGCCGAGCCCGUGUGAAGCCUCUUCGACGAGUCGAGUUGUUUGGGAAUGCAGCUCUAAAUGGGUAGUAUAUUUUAUCUAAAGCUAAAUAUUGGCUGGAGACCGAUAGCGCACAAGUAGAGUGAUCGAAAGAUGAAAAGCACUUUGGAAAGAGAGUCAAACAGUACGUGAAAUUGUUGAAAGGGAAGCGUAUGCAACCAGACCUGCCCGGGGGCGAUCAGCCGCUGUUCUCCAGCGGUGCACUCGUGCCCCGACCAGGCCAGCAUCGGUUCCGACGGAUUCGAAAAGCAAUUGACUGUUGGGAAUGUAGCUCCCUUCGGGGAGCCUUAUAGCCCUCUGUCGGCACGGCCGUCGGGACCGAGGACCGCGCUUCGGCUAGGAUGCUGGCGUAAUGGUUGUCUACAUCCC
rnacentral:rRNA from 1 species